GCUGAUGCGUUGUUGGGUAGGGGAGCGUUCUGUAAGCCUGUGAAGGUGGCCUGUGAGGGUUGCUGGAGGUAUCAGAAGUGCGAAUGCUGACAUAAGUAACGAUAAAGCGGGUGAAAAGCCCGCUCGCCGGAAGACCAAGGGUUCCUGUCCAACGUUAAUCGGGGCAGGGUGAGUCGACCCCUAAGGCGAGGCCGAAAGGCGUAGUCGAUGGGAAACGGGUUAAUAUUCCCGUACUUGGUGUUACUGCGAAGGGGGGACGGAGAAGGCUAUGUUGGCCGGGCGACGGUUGUCCCGGUUUAAGCGUGUAGGUGUGUGUUCCAGGUAAAUCCGGUUCACUUUAACACUGAGGCGUGACGACGAGGCACUACGGUGCUGAAGCAACAAAUGCCCUGCUUCCAGGAAAAGCCUCUAAGCAUCAGGUAACAUCAAAUCGUACCCCAAACCGACACAGGUGGUCAGGUAGAGAAUACCAAGGCGCUUGAGAGAACUCGGGUGAAGGAACUAGGCAAAAUGGUGCCGUAACUUCGGGAGAAGGCACGCUGAUAUGUAGGUGAAGCGGUUUACCCGUGGAGCUGAAAUCAGUCGAAGAUACCAGCUGGCUGCAACUGUUUAUUAAAAACACAGCACUGUGCAAACACGAAAGUGGACGUAUACGGUGUGACGCCUGCCCGGUGCCGGAAGGUUAAUUGAUGGGGUCAGCGCAAGCGAAGCUCCUGAUCGAAGCCCCGGUAAACGGCGGCCGUAACUAUAACGGUCCUAAGGUAGCGAAAUUCCUUGUCGGGUAAGUUCCGACCUGCACGAAUGGCGUAAUGAUGGCCAGGCUGUCUCCACCCGAGACUCAGUGAAAUUGAACUCGCUGUGAAGAUGCAGUGUACCCGCGGCAAGACGGAAAGACCCCGUGAACCUUUACUAUAGCUUGACACUGAACAUUGAGCCUUGAUGUGUAGGAUAGGUGGGAGGCUUUGAAGCGUGGACGCCAGUCUGCGUGGAGCCAACCUUGAAAUACCACCCUUUAAUGUUUGAUGUUCUAACGUGGACCCGUAAUCCGGGUUGCGGACAGUGUCUGGUGGGUAGUUUGACUGGGGCGGUCUCCUCCUAAAGAGUAACGGAGGAGCACGAAGGUUGGCUAAUCCUGGUCGGACAUCAGGAGGUUAGUGCAAUGGCAUAAGCCAGCUUGACUGCGAGCGUGACGGCGCGAGCAGGUGCGAAAGCAGGUCAUAGUGAUCCGGUGGUUCUGAAUGGAAGGGCCAUCGCUCAACGGAUAAAAGGUACUCCGGGGAUAACAGGCUGAUACCGCCCAAGAGUUCAUAUCGACGGCGGUGUUUGGCACCUCGAUGUCGGCUCAUCACAUCCUGGGGCUGAAGUAGGUCCCAAGGGUAUGGCUGUUCGCCAUUUAAAGUGGUACGCGAGCUGGGUUUAGAACGUCGUGAGACAGUUCGGUCCCUAUCUGCCGUGGGCGCUGGAGAACUGAGGGGGGCUGCUCCUAGUACGAGAGGACCGGAGUGGACGCAUCACUGGUGUUCGGGUUGUCAUGCCAAUGGCACUGCCCGGUAGCUAAAUGCGGAAGAGAUAAGUGCUGAAAGCAUCUAAGCACGAAACUUGCCCCGA
rnacentral:rRNA from 1 species